GUAGUUGUGGCCAAGUGGGCAAGGUGAUGGAUUAGAAAUCCAUUGGGGUCUCCCUGUGCAGGUUUGAGUCCUGCCAACUACA